GUGGAAUCAUACAAUUAUAAAUAAAUCCAUAUGGUGUGGCCAGGAUAUUCAACAACUUGAAUAUAACAUUUAUGUGAGACCUUAGUGGUGAUAGGAUGAUAAGUCACAUUAAUGUGGUACACAAACCAUAUUAUGUACUUUGACCCUUUGACAAACAUAUACCAAUUUUAGCAUACAGGAACCAUAAAUUGUCACAAAAAAAAUCAUUAGAUAUAAAGCGAUUUGACAAAAAAUUAUUUUGAUCAUUGAGAAACUAAAUAUGUGAUUCAAACAUUUAGCUGACUUUUUCAUUUUUCAGAGUUAUCUCCCUGUAGUGUUAUAUACCACAUAAAUAAACGUGGAACUAACGGAGUUUUUAACGGACAUAACGAGAAUGUAUUAUGUCGCAAAGAGAAAGGGUGACCAUACAAUUUAAAGCAAAUCAAAAUGAAUGUAACCGUAUAGCUUAUAGUACAUUCUAGUAUUAUUUCUUCAAAUUUAGUAUGGUUUCAUCUUGCUGUGAAUUAUGUAUUGUUCUAUCAUGCUACACAUGCAAUAAAUUAAAUUAAAUAAAAGACAGAUCUAGAGGAGACUUAAAGUUACUAAAUUGUUCUUUUCUCUCUUUCCGGUUCAGACAAAACUAUCCCAUCAAUGCAACUCCCAAUAAAUACGUUAUUAAGAAGAAUCAAGUAAACACUUUUAAUAAGUGGUACGACGUGAGCAUUUUAAAAAUAAAUACGAAUAUUAGAUUAAGUUGAAUCACGUGAACAUUUAAUUGAGAGAUUUACAACAAAGGAAAUUCAGUGAUCCUAAUGCGCAUGAAGAUUAGUAAACAUGGUUAAUGGGUUGAACUUGAUAAUCAACAAUGGUCAAUGUUACAGCUAUGAAAAAAAAUUACAUCUAUUAUGAGGAAAUAUUGGCUCUACAACUCACAACACCUCACAUACGAAUCAUGCAGUGGUUGAGUAUUGAGUGGUAGAUCACCAGUAAUAUCAAUAUUUUUCUUUAAUAUUUUGACGUUUUUACUUUGUUCUGCAGAACUAUGGAUG
rnacentral:lncRNA from 1 species